AUUGAACGCUGGCGGCAGGACUAACACAUGCAAGUCGAGCGAGCGGCGGACGGGUGAGUAAUGUAUGGGGACUGCCCGAUAGAGGGGGAUAACUACUGGAAACGGUGGCUAAUACCGCAUACUAUCGGAUAACCCAUAUGGGAUUAGCUAGUAGGUGGGGUAAAGGCUCACCUAGGCGACGAUCUCUAGCUGGUCUGAGAGGAUGAUCAGCCACACUGUGACUUGGACACGGCCCAUACUCCUGCGGAGGCAGCAGUGGGGAAUAUUGCACAAUGGGCGCAACCCUGAUUCAGCCAUGCCGCGUGUUUGUAGAAGGCCUUAGGGUUGUAAAGUACUUUCAGCGUGGAGGCGUUCCCCGCAGAAGAAGCACCGGCUAACUCCGUGCCAGCAGCCGCGGUAAUUC
rnacentral:rRNA from 1 species